UACGGAGGGUGCGAGCGUUGUCCGGAAUCACCGGGCGUAAAGGGCGCGUAGGCGGCCUGAUAAGUAGGGGGUGAAAUCCUGCGGCUUAACCGCAGGGCUGCCUUCUAAACUGUCAGGCUAGAGCACAGUAGAGGCAGGUGGAAUUCCCGGUGUAGCGGUGGAAUGCGUAGAGAUCGGGAAGAACAUCAGUGGCGAAGGCGGCCUGCUGGGCUGUUGCUGACGCUGAGGCGCGACAGCGUGGGGAGCAAACAGG
rnacentral:rRNA from 1 species